rnacentral:tRNA from 4 species
GCCGGAGUGGCGAAAUUGGUAUACGCACCAGACUCAAAAUCUGGCGGGAGCAAUCCCAUGUCGGUUCGAGUCCGACCUCCGGCACCA